AGGGUGGAUAUGACUUGGCUUCCUCCCUUCCUCGCCGGCGGUGACCUGUAACAAGAAAAAGAAAACGCAGGCAGUUGAUUUUAAUCUAUUAUGUCCAGAUUGUUGUAUUUUUUUUUCUUUUUAGAUCUGUUAACUUCUGUCUUCUUUCUUCUUCUCAGUUAGCUGUUCUUUCCUUCUUCUCCCGGUGGCAGGUCUGGCGGUU
rnacentral:lncRNA from 1 species